rnacentral:rRNA from 1 species
CGGUAAUUCCAGCUCCAAUAUCGUAUAUUAAAGUUGCUGCGGUUAAUAAGCUCGUAGUUGGAUUUCUGCUGGGGACAACUGGUCUGCCUACUGGGUAAGUAUUUCUGAGUCAAGCAUGUUCUUGGACGACACUUCUGCACUUGACUGUGUUGUGUGAUCUCCAAGGUUGUUACUUUGAGGAAAUCAGAGUGCUUACAGCAGGCAAAAUGUUUUGAAUACAUUAGCAUAUAUUAAUAAGAUGAGACUGCGGUUUUAUGUUGUUGGUUUUAAAAAGUGAAGUAAUGGUUGGCAGGGAGAGUUAGUGGUGCAUUUGUAUUCAACUGUCAGAGGUGGAAUUCUUGGAGUUGUUAAAGACAAACAACUGCGAAAGCAUUUGCCAAUGAUGUUGUUUGAUCAAGAACGAAAGUUAGGGGAUCGAAGACGAUUAGAUACCGUCCGAGUCUUAACUAUAAACUAUGCCAACCAGAGAUUCGAGGUUGCUAUGUGUACGACUCCUUCAGCACCGUACGAGACAUCAAAGUCUUGGGGUUCCGCGGGGAGUAUGGUCGCACGGCUGAAACUUAAAGGAAUUGACGGAAGGGCACCACCAGGAGUGGAGCCUACGGCUUACUUUGACUCGACACGGGGAAACUUACCAGGUCCAGACAUAGUAAGGAUUGACAGAUUGAUAGCUCUUUCUUGAUUCUAUGGGUGGUGGUGCAUGGCCGUUCUUGGUUGGUGGAGUGAUUUGUCUGGUUAAUUCCGUUAACGAACGAGACCUUAACUUGCUAAAUAGUUACAUGCAACUCGGGUUAUGUGGGCAACAUCUUAGAGGGACUUUGUGUCUAACACAAGGAAGUUUGAGGCAAUAACAGGUCUGUGAUGCCCUUAGAUGUGCUGGGCUGCACGCGCGCUACACUGAUGUGCUCAACAAGCAUUUACUUUGCUUGUAAAGGCAGGGCAAUCUUUAAACAUGCGCCGUGAUGGGGAUUGACUAUUGCAAUUAUUAGUCUUGAGCGAUGAAUUCCUAGUAAACUCGAGCCAUCAGCUCGUGUUGAUUACGUCCCUGCCCCUUUGUACACACCGCCC